rnacentral:rRNA from 1 species
CCUACGGGCGGCAGCAGUGAGGAAUAUUGGUCAAUGGGCGGGAGCCUGAACCAGCCAAGCCGCGUGAGGGAAGAAUGUACAGCGUAUCGUAAACCUCUUUUGUCAGGGGGCAAACGCGGGGACUAGUACCUGGAUGAGGGUAUCGGAAGAAAAAGCAUCGGCUAACUCCGUGCCAGCAGCCGCGGUAAUACGGAGGAUGCGAGCGUUAUCCGGAUUUAUUGGGUUUAAAGGGUGCGCAGGCGGCCUGUUAAGUCAGCGGUAAAAUCCCGGGGUUAAACCCGGGCGUGCCUUUGAGACUGGUGGGCUGGAGUGGAGUAGAGGUAGGCGGAAUGCGCGGUGUAGCGGUGAAAUGCUUAGAGAUCGUACAGAACACCGAUUGCGAAGGCAGCUUACC